GGCUUUUAUAGUUACGUUACGACCAUUACAGACCUGUUUUCGUUACCCGUGAUGACAAUCUUGAUUUAAAUCCAUGAACUCAACUCAUGAUUAAACACGCCAAGACAAUUUCUAGCACAAAAACUAUGCACAAAUGUCAUGACCAGUUUCCAAGAACCAACUUAGCUUGAGGUUGCCAAAUUGGGCCCCUUUUUUACCCUAGUAUCAAUUAAGAAUAGUAAGAAACAAAUGCAAAGACAAUAUAUCAGUCUAAGUGGUUGGUAGGUUCUUAGUUCUCCCAUGGUAUCAAGGACUUGAGUCUUUAUAUGCAUGUUUUCAACAUUUUCUUAUCAAAAAUUACAAAUUGAUACUAUUAAUUGUUUCUAGCCACACUCAAGUUAUUGUAGUACUAGAAAAGGAAGAAAAGCUCAUGCACUUCCUCUAAUGAGCCCAUCAACUUAGCCAAAGAAGAAAUACAAUGGACAAUGCUUUGAGGCACCAAAAUAUAUGUCAAAGCCAUGCAAACAGUAGCAAAUUAGAUCAGGUCGAGCAAGCAGUCUAGCCCAUGUCUUAGGUAUAAUUAUUAAAGGCUAAAGGUGCG
rnacentral:misc_RNA from 1 species